UACGGAGGAUCCGAGCGUUAUCCGGAUUUAUUGGGUUUAAAGGGAGCGUAGGCGGAUGUUUAAGUCAGUUGUGAAAGUUUAAGGCUCAUCCUUGAAAUUGCAGUUGAUACUGGAUAUCUUGAGUACAUUGAAUGUGGGCGGAAUUCGUGGUGUAGCGGUGAAAUGCUUAGAUAUCACGAAGAACUCCAAUUGCGAAGGCAGCUCACAGUAAUGUAACUGACGCUGAUGCUCGAAAGUGUGGGUAUCAAACAGGAUUAGAUACCCUGGUAGUCCACACAGUAAACGAUGAAUACUCGCUGUUUGCGAUAUACAGUAAGCGGCCAAGCGAAAGCGUUAAGUAUUCCACCUGGGGAGUACGCCGGCAACGGUGAA
rnacentral:rRNA from 1 species